rnacentral:rRNA from 1 species
GCCAGCAGUCGCGGUAACACGUAAAAGACUAGUGUUACUCUUUUUAAAUAGGUUUAAAGGGUACCUAGACGGCCAAUCAAGCCUCAAAAGGGUACUAAUAGGCUAGAGUUUAAUAUAAGGAGGCAUGAAAGUACUGAGAAUGUAGAGAGAUGAAAUUCUGUGAUACUAUAUAUGGCACUGGUAGAGGCGAAAGCAUCUUAUUAUGUAAAAACUGACGUUGAGGGACGAAGGCUGUGUGUAGCAAAAAGGAUUAGAUACCCAAGUAGUCUCAGCAGAAAAUGAUGAAUGUCAUAGGAUAGAUAAAUUUUGUACUAUAAAUGAAAGUGUAAGCAUUCCACCUUAAGAGUAAUUUGGCAACAUUGGAACUGAAAUCAUUAGACCGUUUCUGAAACAAGUAGUGAAGUAUGUUGUUUAAUUUGAUGAUCCGCAAAAAACCUUACCACAAUUUGAAUAUAAAAAUUUUUA